rnacentral:rRNA from 1 species
UGGUUGCUUAAAACAGCAGGACGGUGGCCAUGGAAGUCGGAAUCCGCUAAGGAGUGUGUAACAACUCACCUGCCGAAGCAACUAGCCCUGAAAAUGGAUGGCGCUAAAGCUUCCUACUUAUACUCUGCCGUUCAGCUAGAGCAAGCCUAUCUGACAAGGCUCUGACAGCUGAACGAGUAGGCAGGUCGCAGCGGUGGCGCAGAAGGCUUUGGGAGUGAUCCUGGCUGGAGCCGCCGUUGGUGCAGAUCUUGGUGGUAGUAGCAAAUACUCCAGAGAGGCCCUGGAGGACCGAUGUGGAGAAGGGUUCAGUGUGAACAGCUGUUGGACACUGGUCAGUCACUCCUAAGGCUUAGGGGAAACCCUAUAAAAUUGUGUGGUGUUUUCAGUUUGACUAGACCACAACUACAGCCGAAAGGGAAUGAGGUUCUUAUUCCUCAACCUGAUAGCGGAACCGAUUCGGCCCUCGUACCGACACGGCAACGUGAAAUGAGCCUGAGACGCCCACCCGAGCUCUGGGAAGAGUUGUCUUUUCUGCAUAAGCCGCUGAGGCCCUGGAAUUCCUUCGAGGAGAGAAUGGGUUUUGGCUAGGCAAAGAGCGUAGCAGUUCUCGCUAUGUCCAUGAGUGCCGGGUGGAACCUUGAAAAUCAGGCUGAGGGUUACAGCGGAGUCGCAUCAGCUCGUACCCAUAUCCGCAGCAGGUCUCCUAGGUGAAAAGCCUCUGGUCGAUAGAAUAAUGUAGGUAAGGGAAGUCGGCAAAUUGGAUCCGUAACUUCGGGAUAAGGAUUGGCUCUGAGGGUCAGGGUGUUUGGGCUUUGAGCUGGAAGCAGGUUGGCCUACCGGUAUGCUUGACCGAACCCUUGGGUGAAGUCGAUCGUAUUCAAAGGCUCCUGUGGAUAGCCAUUGCUUUGCACAGACUGGCAACGGUUUUGUGUUCAAGCAUCAAUCAAUGACUAACUCAGAACUGGCACGGACAAGGGGAAUCCGACUGUCUAAUUAAAACAAAGCAUUGCGAUGGUCAGAGAGUGAUGUUGACGCAAUGUGAUUUCUGCCCAGUGCUCUGAAUGUCAAAGUGAAGAGGUUCGUCCAAGCGCGGGUAAACGGCGGGAGUAACUAUGACUCUCUUAAGGUAGCCAAAUGCCUCGCCAUCUAAUUAGUGGCGCGCAU